rnacentral:snRNA from 1 species
GUGCUUGCUUCAGCAGCACAUGAAUUAAAAUUGGAAUCAGAGAGAUUAGCAAAGUGACAUACAAAUCUGUGAAGCAUUCCAUAUUUU